rnacentral:rRNA from 1 species
GAUGAACGCUGGCGGCGUGCCUAAUACGUGCAAGUCGAGCGAACAGAUGAGGAGCUUGCUCCUCUGACGUUAGCGGCGGACGGGUGAGUAACACGUGGAUAACCUACCUAUAAGACUGGGAUAACUUCGGGAAACCGGAGCUAAUACCGGAUAAUAUAUUGAACCGCAUGGUUCAAUAGUGAAAGACGGUUUUGCUGUCACUUAUAGAUGGAUCCGCGCCGCAUUAGCUAGUUGGUAAGGUAACGGCUUACCAAGGCAACGAUGCGUAGCCGACCUGAGAGGGUGAUCGGCCACACUGGAACUGAGACACGGUCCAGACUCCUACGGGAGGCAGCAGUAGGGAAUCUUCCGCAAUGGGCGAAAGCCUGACGGAGCAACGCCGCGUGAGUGAUGAAGGUCUUCGGAUCGUAAAACUCUGUUAUUAGGGAAGAACAAAUGUGUAAGUAACUAUGCACGUCUUGACGGUACCUAAGCAGAAAGCCACGGCUAACUACGU